ensembl:lncRNA
UUUUUAAUCCACAUAUUUCAUUGCAGCCUGUAAAUGGAUAAUGUGUAUAGCUGGUGAAUCGAAACAGCACCGUGACCAUGGUAUUUGGAGAAAGAGUUAAGCAUCGGAAGAAUCAAAAAUAUAAAUAAUUGAAAAUGAUUGUCUCUGAAGACUGCUCAGUGGAAAGAAGGGGAGACCUUAAAUCCUCAACCAGAACAGUUGAUGAGAUGGCAGAAUCAAAAACAGAAGUCAGGACAGUGGUGCUAAAGAUGGCAUUAUUUGUUGAAUCCUUCACUUGCUAUAGGUCAGGUAUGGUUUAGAUGUUGGAAGGUUCUAUGUGGCUCCUCUGGUCUUCAAUGGAGCCCCUCGGGGGUUCCCAUUGAUGGAGAAACUGAGACCCAAAGUAGUGAAGUGGCUUUUCUAGACUGUGUGGCAAGUAAGUUCCUGAUUUAUUGAAACCUUAUUGAAGCCUUACAUCAGGGUCAGGCUUAGAGUCUGUAUCCAGUAGCUUUUCAUAUUCUACACAUGCCAUCUUAACAGUAUGAAUAUAAGUAGUGUAUCCUUAUGAAGCAGUAGUCUUGAAAAAAAGUACUCAUAUUGAAAUAUAUAUUGAAUAUAUUUUGAAAUAUAUUAAAAUAUUAAACAGAAAGGGUUUUAUAAGGCUAAAUAUUACAUAAUUCAUAUUACAUGAUUUUGUAGAUUGUAUGAGUGAUAAAAGGCUAAUCAUAAGAGACAAAAAAUAAGUUUGGUGCAUGUCCUUUUUUUUUUUUUGGUAUAACGUCAGCUUAACUGAACGUGUUGUUUUUCAUUGUGGAUAUUAUAUAUUUCACUUUAUAAGAAUCUUGGCCUUGUGAUUCUGUGGCUUUUAUAAAAUAAUUAGAUGACUCAAAGGGCAAAAUGGAGCUUAGACAGACAGAUUCACAGCUUAGACCAUAUGUCUUCCAAGUAGAAUGUCAUAAUAUGUAAUUUUGUCAGGAAACAUCUUCUAGUAAAAUAUCCAAGAGGUAACCUCUUUUCAAAACUUCCGUUUAUGAGUUAUGUGGGCAAGAUUUAAAAUAAACCAUUCAGAAUAUAUAUUGCUCUAUUGCUA